rnacentral:rRNA from 1 species
GCAAGUCGAACGUUAACGCACCUUCGGGUGUUAUUAAAGUGGCAAACGGGUGAGUAACACGUGGGAACGUACCUUUUAGUCUGGAAUAGCCCUGGGAAACUGGGAUUAAUGCCGGAUAUUCUCUACGGAGGAAAGAUUUAUCGCUAAAAGAUCGGCCCGCGUUAGAUUAGCUUGUUGGUGAGGUAAAGGCUCACCAAGCCCACGAUCCCUAGCUGGUCUGAGAGGAUGAUC